AUCCUUUUGUAAUUCAUAAGCAUGAUGAUUGGGUGUUCACUCACAUAUAUGAGAUGUGCCUCCCUCAAUCCUUGUUACAACAUUGGCACAUUACCUCUCUGAUG
rnacentral:snoRNA from 1 species